rnacentral:rRNA from 1 species
UACAGAGACUGCAAGCGUUAUUCGGAUUCACUGGGCGUAAAGGGUGCGCAGGCGGCCGUGUGUGUGAGGCGUGAAAGCCCGGGGCUCAACCCCGGAAUUGCACCUCAAACUACAUGGCUAGAGCAUUGGAGAGGGAAGCGGAAUUCACGGUGUAGCAGUGAAAUGCGUAGAUAUCGUGAGGAACACCAGAGGCGAAGGCGAGUCCCUGGACGAUACCUGACACUGAGGCACGAAAGCCAAGGGAGCAAACAGG